AAUCAGAAUUCCCGGCACACCGCCGCACACUCACGGCUCCCCUUCUCACGCUUGAGGAGCGAAAAUCUCCGGGUUUUUUCCACACGACCGACCCUUUCCCGGCCGGAGGGGCCUUUCCACCGCCCACAAGGCUACGGGCCCGCCCCCGGCUCCCUACAGACCAGCCCGGCCUCAUCACCACUACCUCUACAAGCCCCGCACGGGCCCGGGCAGCAGCACCGGCCUCACCUCAGCCACAGGCACCGACCGGCGGGGGGGAGCGGCCCGCCGCGGGGGGCUGCUAGCGCCGGGGGCGGCCGGGAGGUCCGUGAACAUCGGAGGCCGGACCGCUCCUUCCCCACCGGGCAGACCUCCCCGAGGAGUCCGCCGACCCCCACCGCGCCCCCCGGCCCGGCCAGCACCUCCUACCUGCCCGGUGCCCGGCGCGACCCGGCGCCUGAGGCGGAAGCGGCGGCGGAAGCGCUACGGUGGCCGCGCGGGGCCGGGCGGAAGUGCUGGGGGGGAGGUACCGCCUGCGCGCGCUGCCGGGCGAGGGGCGGCGCGGCGGAGGCCGAGGGAGCGGGCACCAUGUCGGGCCGAGAGGGCGGCAAGAAGAAGCCGCUGAAGCAGCCGAAAAAGCAGUCGAAGGACCUGGAUGAGACAGAUCUGGCAUUUAAACAAAAGCAGAAGGAGGAACAAAAGAAACUUGAGGAGAUGAAAGCAAAGGCUGCUGGAAAAGGGCCCCUCACCAGCGGUGGAAUAAAGAAGUCUGGCAAAAAGUAGUUUGGUGGAACUGCGGGGUGAGCAGCGAUGGAGUCGCUCAGUGGAUCUGCAGACUUCGGAGAGUCAUGAAAACUCACUGUCAUUUGGGAAACAUUGUACAUUUUGUUUAGUGGGAAUAAAUCGUUUUUGUUAAGAUGUAAUAUUUUCUCU
rnacentral:lncRNA from 1 species